rnacentral:rRNA from 1 species
AGAGUUUGAUCAUGGCUCAGAUUGAACGCUGGCGGCAGGCCUAACACAUGCAAGUCGAACGGUAACAGGAAGCAGCUUGCUGCUUCGCUGACGAGUGGCGGACGGGUGAGUAAUGUCUGGGAAACUGCCUGAUGGAGGGGGAUAACUACUGGAAACGGUAGCUAAUACCGCAUAACGUCGCAAGACCAAAGAGGGGGACCUUCGGGCCUCUUGCCAUCAGAUGUGCCCAGAUGGGAUUAGCUAGUUGGUGGGGUAACGGCUCACCAAGGCGACGAUCCCUAGCUGGUCUGAGAGGAUGACCAGCCACACUGGAACUGAGACACGGUCCAGACUCCUACGGGAGGCAGCAGUGGGGAAUAUUGCACAAUGGGCGCAAGCCUGAUGCAGCCAUGCCGCGUGUAUGAAGAAGGCCUUCGGGUUGUAAAGUACUUUCAGCGGGGAGGAAGGUGUUGUGGUUAAUAACCGCAGCAAUUGACGUUACCCGCAGAAGAAGCACCGGCUAACUCCGUGCCAGCAGCCGCGGUAAUACGGAGGGUGCAAGCGUUAAUCGGAAUUACUGGGCGUAAAGCGCACGCAGGCGGUCUGUUAAGUCAGAUGUGAAAUCCCCGGGCUCAACCUGGGAACUGCAUCUGAUACUGGCAGGCUUGAGUCUCGUAGAGGGGGGUAGAAUUCCAGGUGUAGCGGUGAAAUGCGUAGAGAUCUGGAGGAAUACCGGUGGCGAAGGCGGCCCCCUGGACGAAGACUGACGCUCAGGUGCGAAAGCGUGGGGAGCAAACAGGAUUAGAUACCCUGGUAGUCCACGCCGUAAACGAUGUCGACUUGGAGGUUGUGCCCUUGAGGCGUGGCUUCCGGAGCUAACGCGUUAAGUCGACCGCCUGGGGAGUACGGCCGCAAGGUUAAAACUCAAAUGAAUUGACGGGGGCCCGCACAAGCGGUGGAGCAUGUGGUUUAAUUCGAUGCAACGCGAAGAACCUUACCUGGUCUUGACAUCCACGGAAGUUUUCAGAGAUGAGAAUGUGCCUUCGGGAGCCGUGAGACAGGUGCUGCAUGGCUGUCGUCAGCUCGUGUUGUGAAAUGUUGGGUUAAGUCCCCGCAACGAGCGCAACCCUUAUCCUUUGUUGCCAGCGGUUAGGCCGGGAACUCAAAGGAGACUGCCAGUGAUAAACUGGAGGAAGGUGGGGAUGACGUCAAGUCAUCAUGGCCCUUUACGACCAGGGCUACACACGUGCUACAAUGGCAUAUACAAAGAGAAGCGACCUCGCGAGAGCAAGCGGACCUCAUAAAGUAUGUCGUAGUCCGGAUUGGAGUCUGCAACUCGGACUCCAUGAAGUCGGAAUCGCUAGUAAUCGUGGAUCGAUGCCCACGUGAAUACGUUCCCGGCCUUGUACACACCGCCCGUCACACCAUGGGAGUGGGUUGCAAAAGAAGUAGGUAGCUUAACCUUCGGGAGGGCGCUUACCACUUUGUGAUUCAUGACUGGGUGAAGUCGUAACAAGGUAACCGUAGGGGAACCUGCGGUUGGAUCACCU